AACGAACGCUGGCGGCAUGCUUAACACAUGCAAGUCGAACGAUGUAGCAAUACAUAGUGGCGCACGGGUGAGUAACGCGUGGGAAUCUGCCCUUCAGUACGGAAUAACAGCGGGAAACUGUUGCUAAUACCGUAUAAUGUCUCCGGACCAAAGAUUUAUCGCUGAAGGAUGAGCCCGCGUCAGAUUAGCUAGUUGGUGAGGUAAUGGCUCACCAAGGCUCCGAUCUGUAGCUGGUCUGAGAGGAUGACCAGCCACACUGGGACUGAGACACGGUCCAGACUCCUACGGGAGGCAGCAGUGGGGAAUAUUGGACAAUGGGGGAAACCCUGAUCCAGCAAUGCCGCGUGAGUGAUGAAGGCCUUAGGGUUGUAAAGCUCUUUUGUCAGGGAAGAUAAUGACGGUACCUGAAGAAUAAGCACCGGCUAACUUCGUGCCAGCAGCCGCGGUAA
rnacentral:rRNA from 1 species